rnacentral:rRNA from 1 species
GACGAACGCUGGCGGCGUGCCUAAUACAUGCAAGUAGAACGCACAGUUUAUACCGUAGCUUGCUACACCAUAAACUGUGAGUUGCGAACGGGUGAGUAACGCGUAGGUAACCUGCCUGGUAGCGGGGGAUAACUAUUGGAAACGAUAGCUAAUACCGCAUAAUAUUGAUUAUUGCAUGAUAAUUGAUUGAAAGAUGCUAUUGCAUCACUACCAGAUGGACCUGCGUUGUAUUAGCUAGUAGGUGAGGUAACGGCUCACCUAGGCGACGAUACAUAGCCGACCUGAGAGGGUGAUCGGCCACACUGGGACGGAGACACGGCCCAGACUCCUACGGGAGGCAGCAGUAGGGAAGCUUCGGCAAUGGACGAAAGUCUGACCGAGCAACGCCGCGUGAGUGAAGAAGGGUUUCGGAUCGUAAAGCUCUGUUGUAAGAGAAGAACGGGUGUGAGAGUGGAAAGUUCACACUGUGACGGUAUCUUACCGGAAAGGGACGGCUAACUACGUG